rnacentral:rRNA from 1 species
UGAAUAUGAUUUCAAGUUUGACCUGCCCACUGAUAUAAUUGAAUGGCCGCGGUAUAUUGACUGUGCAAAGGUAGCAUAAUCACUAGUUUUUUAAUUGAAAGCUUGAAUGAAGGGUUUGAUGAAAAAUUAUCUGUCUCUGGUAUAAUUUAUUAAAAUUUUAUUUUUAAGUGAGAAAGCUUAAAUUUUUAUUAAAGACGAGAAGACCCUAUAGAGUUUCAUUAAUGGAAAAAAAUUUGGGAUUAAGAAUUUAAGUUUAAAUUUAUUGAUAUUAAUUUUAUUGGGGUGAUAAAAAAAUUAAAAUAACUUUUUUAUAUUUUUAUAUUUAUAUGUAAGUACUUGAUCCUUGGAUGAAUAAGAUUAAAAGAAUAAAUUACCUUAGGGAUAACAGCGUAAUUUUUUUCAGAGUUCUUAUCUUAAAAAAGGAUUGCGACCUCGAUGUUGGAUUAAAAUUAAUUAUUGGUGCAGAAGCUAAUAAGGCAGGUCUGUUCGACCUUUAAAAUUUUACAUGAUCUGA